rnacentral:rRNA from 1 species
UACGUAGGGUCCAAGCGUUGUCCGGAUUUAUUGGGUUUAAAGGGUGCGUAGGCGGUUCCAUAAGUCAGUGGUGAAAUACAAUAGCUUAACUAUUGAGGUGCCAUUGAUACUGCGGAACUUGAGUACAGACGAGGUAGGCGGAAUUGACGGUGUAGCGGUGAAAUGCUUAGAUAUCGUCAAGAACACCGAUAGCGAAGGCAGCUUACUAGACUGUAACUGACGCUGAGGCACGAAAGUGUGGGGAUCAAACAGG